GAUGAACGCUGGCGGCGUGCCUAAUACAUGCAAGUCGAGCGAACGGACGAGAAGCUUGCUUCUCUGAUGUUAGCGGCGGACGGGUGAGUAACACGUGGAUAACCUACCUAUAAGACUGGGAUAACUUCGGGAAACCGUAGCUUAUACCGGAUAAUAUUUUGAACCGCAUGGUUCAAAAGUGAAAGACGGUCUUGCUGUCACUUAUAGAUGGAUCCGCGCUGCAUUAGCUAGUUGGUAAGGUAACGGCUUACCAAGGCAACGAUGGAUAGCCGACCCGAGAGGGUGAUCCGCCACACUGGAACAGAGACACGGCCCAGACUCCGACAGGAGGAAGCAGUAGAGAAUCCUCCGCGAGGCGGGAAAGCCUGAUGGUGCAACGCCGCGGGAAUGAUGAUGGUCUUCGGAUCGUAAAACUCUGUUAUUCGGGAAGAUCAAAAGUGUAAGUAACUGUGAACAUCUUGACGGUACCGAAUCAGAAAGCCACGGCUAACUACGUG
rnacentral:rRNA from 1 species